GCCGGCGUACCCAGGGCAACUUGUUAAGGCUGGGCAACGCUAUGCCUCAAAGCAGCUGGGGCUGCACACCUUACUACACAUGGGCAGCUGGCAGGUUUCAUCUGGAAUGCAGAUUUUCUCUGACUGCUGGGAAGGAAAACCAACUAGACUGGUUUCAAGUUACGGCUGCUGUAGCUCUGCCCUGCCUGGGUGUUCUACAAACAGAAUUUUCUGAUGUCUACGCCAUGGCAUGCACUUUACCCUCACAUAUAUGACCUCAGAGAGCUGCACAACUUCUUCUGCAGUGGAUGUGAAUUUUUUCUACUUCAGAGGAGACCAGAGCUUGAGUCUUCAGCCAAGACCACUCCUGAAAGUGUUUUGAAGCAAUGGGACCUUCACGUCUGCUAUUUGCACAUGCUCUGCAAGAGGUAUAGGGUGUUUGGGAAUCCCUACCCUAAAUAAGAAAGGUAGCUGAGCCAUCCUGCCAGACAGACACCCACACUGUUCUUUAUGUGGCUGACCUUAUGGAAACAGGGACCCUCGGGUACUGCUGCCUCCUAAGAGACUACACUGUGUGGCUAGCUCAGCAAACUGGCUCCAGGUUUUUACUCCACUCCCUGUUUCCUGUGAAGGAAGGCAUGGUAAUCAGAUACCUAUAGCAUCGCAACUGCAGAUGGUCAAGUUCCAGUUUGAUUCUGCAUCCUGCCAGCACUGUGGGACCCAGGCACUUGGCUUUAACGUGACUGAGGUGAUGUCAUCUUGUCCUGUUCUUACCUGUCUCCACUUUGUGUUUGCUUAGGGCCUUGUGUCUUUUCAGCUCCUAAUUGCUCAUCAGUCACAUAUACCUUGGCAGUACAUUUGCGACUUUCCAUGAUUAUGGGCAUGGCCCAGAAGUAUAACAGCUGAUGUGCUC
ensembl:antisense Gm13963 predicted gene 13963